rnacentral:rRNA from 1 species
CACGUAGGGUGCGAGCGUUGUUCGGAUUCAUUGGGCGUAAAGGGUGCGUAGGCGGCGCGGUAAGUCGGGUGUGAAAUCUCGGGGCUUAACUCCGAAACUGCAUUCGAUACUGCCGUGCUUGAGGACUGGAGAGGAGACUGGAAUUCAUGGUGUAGCAGUGAAAUGCGUAGAGAUCAUGAGGAAGACCAGUGGCGAAGGCGGGUCUCUGGACAGUUCCUGACACUGAGGCACGAAGGCCAGGGGAGCAAACGGG